rnacentral:tRNA from 1 species
GGUGGCUAUAGCUCAGUGGUAGAGUGCAUGCUUAGCAUGCAUGAGGUCCUGGGUUCAAUCCCCAGUACCUCCA